AUCCAACCCACGAAUACGAAUCACUAAAACACAAUCCCCACUAAUAAACCCACAGGAAUCGGUUUUCCAAAACCUAUUGCUGUAACUCGCCGGAAGUCCCGAAAAUCGCACCGGGACUCCGCCGGGACAUACGAACUGUCCCAAAACUCACCGACUCGUGCUACAAGUCACUCGCUGCUACUAAACACAAUUAUUCAUGCGACUUGGCAGCAAACACACCGCUUUACAUCGAAACGAU
rnacentral:lncRNA from 1 species